GUUCUUAAUAAAGGUGCUAUGAAAGAAUGUAAGACAGGAAAAUAAUUAAAUAUUUUUACUGUGACAGGGCCUCGCUAAGUUGCUGAGGCUAUCCUUGAACUUGUGAUCCUCCUGCCUCAGUCUCCUGAUUUUCUGGGAUUAUAGGUGUGUUCCACUGUAAACUAUUAAGGAAACCUUGUGUUAUUCAAAGAUUUCUUUCAUUCAACAUUUUUAUUAACAAAAGAAUUCUCUUCCUUAAGAACAUACUAGUGAUUCUUACAUGUCAGAUAUUCUUAGGCAUUUAAUGUGAUGAAAAUAUUUAAAUAUAUUGAGUAUUUUUUAGGUCUUUUGCCUUGAUUUUAACUCAUUGUUAAUAUUUGAAAACUUGAGGGUUGGGGAUGUGGCUUAAGUGGUAGUACACUAGCCUGGACUGUAUGAGGCACUGGGUUCAAUCCUCAGCACCACAUAAAAAUAAAAUACAAGGAUUGUGUCCACCGUGAAAAAAAAAAAACAAAAAACUAAAAAGCAAAUAUUAAAAGCAAUAUUUGAAAACUUGAUCAACCAGCUAUAAUUGUUUUGAACACAGAAUGUUUUCUUCUGCAAAGAGUAGUACUUUUGUGUUUUAUUCACCUGAAGGAAAGCCUAAAGUAACUUUCAAAAUAAAUUUCUUAACAAUUUCCAAACAUGGAUACCAAUGGCUGAAUAGCAUAAAGAAUAUUAUUUCCAUAAUUGGGUGAUAAUAUAGUUUUUAUGAGUUAUGUAAACAAUAUGAUUGUCCAAUCAUGUCUAAAACUAUGUGUAUCUCUUCUGUCCAAAGAUUUUAUCACUUCCUGAUGAAAUAUGAUUUUUAAUUUUAUGUUUGCUUUAGAUUUUAUUUCAAUCAAAUAAGAGUUACAUAUAAAGAUGGCCUCACAUGAAGCAGAUUCACAACUUUAUCAUUGACCGACUGUUUAUUCUUUGAACUGUCUUCUAUAUAUAAAGUACAUCUAGAUUGCCUUUCCUGAGAGUGCUUUUCUUUUCACUUCAGUUAACAUUGUUUACUGAAUAACCCAAGGCUGGGACAAUAUGGACCAACUGGCGAUUUAUUCACCAGUUUUCAUUCAGCACUGAAUACCUACCUAAAUGCUAGGCAUCCACAGACAUCAAAAUCAUUAUUUACUUCUUUGUUUAAUUUUUUGGUACUGGGAAUUGAAUCUAGAGGCACUUUACCACUGAAACACAUCCCCAGCCCUUUUGUUUAUUUUUUAAAAAUUUUUAGACAGGAUCUUGCUAAGUUGCUUAGGGCCUCACUAAGUUCCUAAGACUGGCCUUGAAUGUAGGAUCCUUCUGCCUCAGCCUCAACCUCCCAAAGGUUGAUGCAUAUUAUCAUUAUUAUUUAAAGAUGCAAAAGAGAAUAGUAUACAUUUUAAUUUAGAGAAGACUAACAUGGUUUCUUUUAAAUUUCGAUGUGCAUAACUGUAUGGCACUUGCUGCCAUAACAUUCAAUGGUUACUUUAUUUCAAAUUUUGAUGUGGACUAUAUUUUAUUUAAUUUUUAUAAUCACAUGUGUCCUGUAUUUUAAAUCUUUUUUUAAAGGGCAGAGUAAGUAUUUAAACUGAGUAUGCUGCUGGUUCCUGUUUAAGAUCUGUUUAUGUUUCUCAGUAUAGACAUGGCAAUAUUUUAUAAAAUAUGUUGUUUAAAAAUAAUGAUAAAGUAAAUGCCCCCCAAAAUAAAGUAAAUAUAGUUGUAUGGUUCACAUUUUUUAAAAUAAAAGCAGAAAAUUAGAUUGCCAGACUUUGAGUAGAAUUAAUAAAUUUUUGUCUGAGUCUUGCCUGUGAA